GCCUGGGUGGCUCAGUCGGUUGAGCAUCUGACUUGGACUCAGGUCAUGAUCUUGAGGUUCAUGGGUUCAAGCCCCAUAUCAGGCU